rnacentral:rRNA from 2 species
UAGGGAAUAUUGGACAAUGGGGGCAACCCUGAUCCAGCAAUGCCGCGUGAGUGAUGAAGGCCUUAGGGUUGUAAAGCUCUUUUACCCGGGAUGAUAAUGACAGUACCGGGAGAAUAAGCCCCGGCUAACUCCGUGCCAGCAGCCGCGGUAAUACGUAGGGUGCAAGCGUUAAUCGGAAUUACUGGGCGUAAAGCGUGCGCAGGCGGUUCGGAAAGAAAGAUGUGAAAUCCCAGAGCUUAACUUUGGAACUGCAUUUUUAACUACCGAGCUAGAGUGUGUCAGAGGGAGGUGGAAUUCCGCGUGUAGCAGUGAAAUGCGUAGAUAUGCGGAGGAACACCGAUGGCGAAGGCAGCCUCCUGGGAUAACACUGACGCUCAUGCACGAAAGCGUGGGGAGCAAACAGGAUUAGAUACCCUGGUAGUCCACGCCGUAAACGAUGAUAACUAGCUGCUGGGGUGCAUGGCAUUUCAGUGGCGCAGCUAACGCAUUAAGUUAUCCGCCUGGGGAGUACGGUCGCAAGAUUAAAACU